rnacentral:rRNA from 1 species
UACAGAGGGUGCGAGCGUUGUCCGGAAUCACUGGGCGUAAAGGGCGCGUAGGUGGUGGCUUAAGCGUGCGGUGAAAGCUCGGGGCUCAACCCCGAGUCGGCCGUGCGAACUGGGCUCACUGGAGCAUAGUAGAGGCAGGUGGAAUUCCGGGUGUAGCGGUGGAAUGCGUAGAGAUCCGGAAGAACACCGGUGGCGAAGGCGGCCUGCUGGGCUAUGGCUGACACUGAGGCGCGACAGCGUGGGGAGCAAACAGGG